GUCUUCAUGGCUUAGUUGGUUAAAGCGUCGGUCUCAUAUGACAAUAUGAUCCAGUCGACGAACACUGGAGUCAUCCGAAGGUCGCGAGUUCGACUCUCGCUGAGGACA